AACUGAACUUUGUUCAGUACCUUUAUUUUCUGGCGCUACUUCUUCUACUUUGGUCGGUUGAGAAGUAG
rnacentral:antisense_RNA from 14 species